rnacentral:lncRNA from 1 species
UUUAAUCAUUUCAGAUCAGGAAGACAUUGUUCCUGAGCCGGUUCCGCAGGAGGACGAUGAAGGGGACGCCUAAAGACUCCAUAGUCAUAUUCGUAGCUUUUACUUUCAAGUUUCUCCUUUAGGUAGUUUGAUCUUUUAUAUUUUGUGAGCACGUUUUUGGUUUUAGUGUAAGGGAUGUUAAUCGAAUUUUUGACUUCGCUUCCGCAUUGAUAUUUUUAAUACACAUUUCAAUUUUAAAUUUCCGGGGCCGUUACAGUUGGUAUCAAAGCCGCAUUUCCUCGGACUCAUUCCUUACACAAUAGUGCCUUACAGAAAUGCUCACCGAUAUAUCGUUACUCAAUCGUUCCUUGUGAAUGCAGGUACAUGGGAAUGAGGAGAGGAAGGCCCCCACUAAACCGAGCGGCCCAAGAUAAUUCACUUCGGGAGGAUUUAGACAGACUAUUUGAGAUGGUGGAGGCUCUCGUAGCUGCCCAGCAAAGGCAAGAGGAGAGAAGGGAGUUACCCGGACCUCCUCCGCUAGCGCAUGUUGAGCCCCCGCUACAGCAGGCUGAUCCCGAGCCACCCCAGCAGGAGCCUGUUCCUCCACAGUACC